GAUGAACGCUGGCGGCGUGCCUAAUACAUGCAAGUCGAACGCUGGAGAUCUAGCUUGCUAGAUCGAAGGAUUGGCGAACGGGUGAGUAAUACAUAAGCAUCCUACCCACGAAGACUUGGAUAAUCUCUGGAAACGGGGACUAAUACCGGAUAGGUAAUCGGAAGGCAUCUUCUGGUUAUUAAAGGUUAAAAACACUGGUGGAUGGGCUUAUGGCGCAUUAGUUUGUUGGUGAGGUAACGGCCAACCAAGACGAUGAUGCGUAGCCGGCCGGAGAGGGUGAACGGCUACAAUGGGAAUGAGACACGGCCCAGAAUCCUACGGAAGGGAGGAGUAGGGAAUUUUCGGCGAUGGGGGCAACCCUGACCGAGCAACGCCGCGUGAGUGAAGACGGCCUUCGGGUUGUAAAGCUCUGUUGUAAGGGAAGAACGGUAGAUAGAGAAUAUCUAAGUGACGGUACCUUACCAGAAAGCCACGGCUAACUACGUG
rnacentral:rRNA from 1 species